GGAGAGGUGGCCGAGCGGCUGAAGGCAACCGCCUGCUAAGCGGUUAACUUGGGAAACCGGGUUCCAGGGUUCGAAUCCCUGCCUCUCCGCCA
rnacentral:tRNA from 1 species